rnacentral:rRNA from 1 species
AGCUGAGUUUGAUCCUGGCUCAGAUUGAACGCUGGCGGUAUGCCUUACACAUGCAAGUCGAACGGUAGAGGGGCAACCCCUUGAGAGUGGCGAACGGGUGAGUAAUACAUCGGAACGUGCCCAGUCGUGGGGGAUAACGUAGCGAAAGCUACGCUAAUACCGCAUACGACCCGAGGGGGAAAGCGGGGGACCGUAAGGCCUCGCGCGAUUAGAGCGGCCGAUAUCAGAUUAGGUAGUUGGUAGGGUAAAGGCCUACCAAGCCAACGAUCUGUAGCUGGUCUGAGAGGACGACCAGCCACACUGGAACUGAGACACGGUCCAGACUCCUACGGGGAGGCAGCAGU